UACGUAGGGUGCAAGCGUUGUCCGGAAUUAUUGGGCGUAAAGAGCUCGUAGGCGGCUUGUCGCGUCGACUGUGAAAUCCCGCGGCUCAACCGCGGGUCUGCAGUCGAUACGGGCAGGCUAGAGUUCGGUAGGGGAGACUGGAAUUCCCGGUGUAGCGGUGAAAUGCGCAGAUAUCGGGAGGAACACCGGUGGCGAAGGCGGUUCUCUGGGCCUUACCUGACGCUGAGGAGCGAAAGCGUGGGGAGCGAACAGG
rnacentral:rRNA from 1 species